AUUCGAAGUGCUUAAUGUAAAUGGUGAAAAAUUAACAGCAGCUAAAAAUUUGGGUUCGCAUGAAGACGCAUUUCCUCGAACAGCUCAGUUGCAUCAUCAUCAUCUCUCCCUCCAUCUCUAUGGGCGUGAAGAAGAUGCAGAGGGCUCGCCCCGCCGCUCCACGACCGCAACAUCCCCACUGAAGAACGAUGGAGAGGCACGUCCAGGCGUUCCUCAACAAGCUCUCCCUCGCCUCCGUCGCCGUCGCCACCUUCACCCUCCUCCUCCUCUUCCUCCGGCCGCCCCCGCAGACCUGCCUCCCCCACCGCCGCCGCCCGCCACCGCUUCCCCAGGUCCUCCUGCGACGCCGCCGCCCGCCGCGAGUUCCUCCCCCUCGACAAGAAGAACAAGCGCCUCUGGUCCUCCCGCGCCUUCCGCGGCCAGGUCCUCUCCUACCGGACCUUCUUCGGCUCGAUCCGCGACCUGGGCCUCCUCCGCAACGACUCCAAGGUCCUCUGCGUCUCCGCCGGGGCCGGCCACGAGGUCAUGGCGCUGUCCGAGUCCGGGGUCGCCGACGUCACCGGGGUCGAAUUGAUCGACUCGCCCCCGCUGGUGAGCCGCGCCGAUCCGCACAACUUGCCCUUCUUCGAUGGGGUUUUCGAUCUGGCGUUCAGCGGGCAUCUGGAGGAGGCUCUGUUCCCGUCGCGGUUCGCGGCGGAGAUGGAGAGGACGGUGAGGGUGGGCGGGGCUUGCGCGGUGGUCGUGGCGGAGUGCGGGGACGCGGAGGUGGAGGAGAUUGUGGGAUUGUUUAGGAAGUCGAGAUUUUUGGAUGCUGCUAAUGUUACUUUGAUUGGAUUGAAGAUGACUAGAAUCCUAAUGAGAGUUAAAGCUGCUUCCUGAUCAAUUUGUUGUGCCUGUUGCUUCAUCAUCUCUGUCGAUUUAGAUGAUUUGUUGGGUUUUAAAGCAGGUUGGAGUGUCUCUGGCACUCUUCGUGUUAUCCUCAGUUCUGUAGGUGUUGGAUCAACAGAAAAUGGGUCGUUAGGUAAAUGAGAACUUUGUAUUUCAUUUCAUCAAAUAGAUCCUCGCGGCGAUGUUGUGAUGUUCAACUCAAGAAAGUGCACACAGAGCGACAAAUGCAAAGUUAGAACCAAAAUCAGUACAUGAGCAAAA